AGCAGCCGCGGUAAUUCCAGCUCCAAUAGCGUAUAUUAAAGUUGUUGCAGUUAAAAAGCUCGUAGUUGAAUUUCGGGGUCAGUAGGUUGGUCGUGCCACUGGUACGUACUGGUCUCACUGAUUCCUCCUUCCUGAUGAACCGUAAUGCCAUUAAUUUGGUGUUGCGGGGAAACUGGACUGUUACUUUGAAAAAAUUAGAGUGUUUAAAGCAGGCUAACGCUUGAAUACAUUAGCAUGGAAUAAUGAAAUAGGACGUUCGAUCCUAUUUUGUUGGUUUCUAGGAUUGACGUAAUGAUUAAUAGGGAUAGUUGGGGGCAUUAGUAUUCAAUUGUCAGAGGUGAAAUUCUUGGAUUUUAUUGAAGACUAACUACUGCGAAAGCAUUUGCCAAGGAUGUUUUCAUUAAUCAAGAACGAAAGUUAGGGGAUCGAAGACGAUCAGAUACCGUCGUAGUCUUAACCAUAAACUAUGCCGACUAGGGAUCGGAUGAUGUUAAUUUUUUAAUGACUCA
rnacentral:rRNA from 1 species